rnacentral:rRNA from 1 species
UACGAAGGUCCCAAGCGUUAUCCGGAUUUAUUGGGUUUAAAGGGUGCGUAGGCGGAUUAUUAAGUCAGUGGUGAAAGCUCUCAGCCUAACUGAGAAAUUGCCAUUGAUACUGAUGAUCUUGAGUACAUUUGAGGAGUGCGGAAUGUGUCAUGUAGCGGUGAAAUGCGUAGAUAUGACACAGAACACCGAUUGCGUAGGCAGCUCUCUAAACUGUAACUGACGCUGAGGCACGAAAGCGUGGGGAGCAAACAGG